UGGGGCAUAUUGCACAAUGGGGGAAACCCUGAUGCAGCGACGCCGCGUGAUUUAGAAGGCCUUCGGGUUGUAAAAAUCUUUUGUAUAGGAAGAAAAUGCCCGUACUAUACGAAUAAGGACCGGCUAAUUACGUGCCAGCAGCCGCGGUAAUACGUCGGUCCCGAGCGUUGUCCGGAUUUAUUGGGCGUAAAGCGAGCGCUGGCGGUUAGUUAAGUCUGAAGUUAAAGGCAGUGGCUCAACCAUUGUAGGCUUUGGAAACUGUUUAACUUGAGUGUGGAAUGGGAGGGUGAAAUUCAAUGUGUAGCGGGGAAAUGUGUAGAUAUAUGGAGGAACACCGGUGGCGAAAGCGGCUCUCUUGUCUGUAACUGACGAAGAGGUUCGAAAGCGUGGGGAGCGAACAGG
rnacentral:rRNA from 1 species